rnacentral:rRNA from 1 species
UAUUGGACAAUGGGCGCAAGCCUGAUCCAGCCAUGCCGCGUGAGUGAUGAAGGCCUUAGGGUUGUAAAGCUCUUUUGUCCGGGACGAUANUGACGGUACUGGAAGAAUAAGACCCGGCUAACUUCGUGCCAGCAGCCGCGGUAAUACGAAGGGGGCUAGCGUUGCUCGGAUUCACUGGGCGUAAAGGGCGCGUAGGCGGCCGAUUAAGUCGGGGGGGAAAGCCUGUGGCUCAACCACAGAAUUGCCUUCGAUACUGGUUGGCUUGAGACCGGAAGAGGACAGCGGAACUGCGAGUGUAGAGGUGAAAUUCGUGGAUAUUCGCAAGAACACCAGUGGCGUAGGCGGCUGUCUGGUCCGGUUCUGACGCUGAGGCGCGAAAGCGUGGGGAGCAAACAGG